GCAGCUGUAGAUCCAAUUCAACCCCUAGCCUGGGAACUUCCAUAUGCCGCAGGUGCGGCCCUGAAAAGCAAAACAAAAAAAAAUCCCGAAAAAUAUGUCUCUCUCUUUCCCUGUCCUCUCCCUUUUUCCAGAGACUCUAAGAGGCAAAAGUUAGGGCAAAAAUCAUCAGAUAUGGAUGUCUUUUUUUUUUUUUUUUUUUUACUACUCAGAGAAUUUAAAUCCCAACUCACCUACUGGUGGCAGAAAACAAGAAAGUCGCGUUCCACCAACACUUUCUUUGCAGCUUUCCCUGAUCUCCGGAUGGCUUCUGAGCAUUGAUGAUUUGAAAUUAUCCUGCAGGAUUAUCAGUGGACAUUUAAUAUUGAUCCUUACCACCCAUCCAGGUGCAUUAACUACGGAAUACAAAGGCAUUACAAAAAAAAUGACAUCUAUGGUGUGGCUUCCUAUAGUCCCAGGGCCCUGGUGACCUCCCAGUCCCACCGUGAAGGGAGUGCUAAGGUCAGGCUGCAGGGCCCCAAGGAGGUGGCUGACAUCCAGAAGUGCAGUCUCUCAGAGUUCUGGAGGCUCCAAGUCCAAAAUCAAGUUGUCGUCAGGGCCAGUUCCCCUCAGGUGGAUCAAGGGGAGAGUCCUUUCCCGCUUCCUCCAGUUUCUGGGAGCUCCAGGUGUCCCCUGGCUGCUUCUGCAUCACUCCGACUGCCUCGGUCUUCACGUGGCUUGUCCUCUGUCCAUGUUGUCUCCUCUGCGUGACUCUUUUAAGGACGUAUGUCAUUAGAUUUAGGGCCCACACUGAUAAUCCUGCAUGAUUUCAUCUUGAGAUCCUCCGUCCAUCUGUGAAGACCCUAUCUCCAGAGAAGUUCACAAUCACAUUUUCCAGGUGGUCAUGUCUCUGGGGAACCACCAUUCAAUACACUGUCUGCAAGAUCUGCCUGACCUUAGCGACAGCCAGCAUUUAUUGAGCACCUACUGUGUGGCAGGCACCAUGCCAAGCGCUCAAAGUGCACAUCUGCCCACGAGGGACUGUGCUGAUCAUUCCUGGAUGGCGAGGCUGCGACUCGGAGGACUUAAAGAGCUUGCAAGACCCCAGGGCCUGACCAGAAGUGAGGAAACUGGGACAUAGAUCCAUAGCUGACUUCUGAACCAUCUUCCCUGCUUCCUGGCACCAAAGCCUGUGCCUGACCCACCCCUCUCCCCUGAUGGGCCCUGCUGCUACCCAGGGCACCAGCCUGCCUGUCCGUGUGGGAGCAAGAAUGAGUCAGGGUGGGGACGGGCCUGUUAAGUCCCUUUUCCAGCGUGACCUCUCCUUGGUCAGCCCUGACUCCCCCUUCAGGAUCUGCUGGCCAUGGGCCCAGGGAAGGAGGGAAGCCUGCCUGUUGGAGGAGCUUCCCCUGGCCUGAGGACAGGCCCUACAGGUCCCCAGGAGCAUCUCUGAGGGAAGGAGGCAAGCGGGAGGCUGUGCUGUUUCUAAACACGCCCUGAGGCAGCCCCGUCAGAUGCGUGACCACCCUGUCUUUGAGGAGGCCCACUGAGGAAACACACUUGGCAGAGGGAUGGGCUUCACCUGUGGGUCUCACCUCACUGCCGCUCCCGGGCCACACUGUCACGUUCCCAAAGAGCCGGCGUGAGAGAACCUGCUGGAGCAGUGAAUUCUCAGCCUCACCCAGGGCUACAGACUCAGAAGCUUGGUGGGUGGGCCCGGUGAUAUGGGUGAUCCUGACGCCCCCCCUAAUGCGGGGCUCUGCCCAAUUUGUACUAGACAUCUGAGCCAGUGGUCCUCAAACUUAGCUGUGUCCCGGAUCACCUGAGAGACCCUAAAAAUACAGGUGCUCAGGCCGCCUCAGACCUACUGCAUCAGAAUAUCUGGGCGUGGAUGUCAGCAGGUUUUAACGGGUCCUGAGUGACUCCUGCAUGCAGCCCCUGCUAAGAGCCUUAGCUCUCAGCCCCAGUGUUGCUUCCGUAAGGCACUAUCAGCUGGGCUACGAGAGCCCUCCCCUUCUGGGACCAGAAGUUGAGUUCUGGAUAAUGAGGAAGGGGUUAGCUCUGAAGCUGAGGAGACACAAAAAAUUUUAUUAUUACAAUGGUGAGAAAUGCAUGUGUUAAAGAAAAGGGGUGUAUGAAGGGGCACACGGGUAGAGAUUAUUUCUUUCAGUGAAUGUGCUUUGCUUUUUAGCAUCAAGGGAAAAUAAUCUCCUUUAUAAUACAAAUGGCCUUGGCCUUGGGUCAUGGGAGCUCCUUCAGUGCCUCCUCCUCUACUUGGGUAAAAGGGCCACUUUCAGAGUUCCUAUCGUGGCUCAGCAGGUUAAGAACCCGACUACUAUCCAUGAGGACACAGGUUCAAACCCUGGAUCCGCUCAGUGGGUUAAGGAUCCGGCGUUGCCGUGAGCUGUGGUGUAGGUUGCAGGCGCAGCUCAGAUGCCACAUUGCUGUGGCUGUGGUGUAGGCUGGUGGCUACACUCCAAUUGGACCCCUAGCCUGGGAACUUCCAUGUGCCACAGGUGUGGCGCUACAAAAAAAAAGAAAAAAAGCGGGGGUGGGGGAGCCCACUUUCCACUCCGGCCUUCCUCUUCACUCUUCGGAGAAUGAGUGAACUCCUGCCUCAGGGUGGUGUUGGAUUUUCGGCUGGUCAGAGUCUGGGCUGAGCCCUCUGGGUCUCAGGAGUUGGCUGUUCCCACCCCUCUUUGCCUGCUCCUCUCUUUCUCUCGCAGCUCUUUAUGGCUUCUGUGUUCAUUAUGAAGACCACCCAGGCUGUGGCUUUGUUCCUGUGACCACAUCUGCAGAAAGGGACAAGCAGGAUCCUGAGGCACCUUCCAGGGACAGCCCCCCCUCCCCAACCUCCCAAAUCCCUCCCUCUUGUUUGUAGAAAAGCCUUAGGCUCCUAGGCCUUCCCCGUGUUCCAAAGAGCAAAUUUAAUGAGAGAAAUACAGAAACAAAGGGAAAGCGUCAAGCAAAACGGUAAUAGUUUAGCCACGAAAGAAAGGCAAGGACCUCGAGUUCCUCCUUAAAGGCCAUAGAUCAUAUUCUGAGCCCUAUCGUUUGAGCUCUUUUGUGGAGACUGAAACCCCCACCAGGUGGAAGAAGUUAACUGCAUGCUGACCACAGCCUAUAGCGCUAGACCAGCUGGAGCUGACUGAUGAUGCUGUGACCCCUCCCUCUUACCUCCCCAUCAGCCAAUCAGAGGAUUGUGCACGAGCUUAACUCUGUCCCCGUGACCCUUGCUCUCACCUCACAUUUAAAAACCCUUCCCUGAAAGCCUUUUGGGAGUCUGGGUCCUUUGAACUUAAGUUGUCUGUUCUUCUUGCUUGACCCCCACGUUGGGUACCUGCAACAAACAUUGUAGUUUCUUCAUCGCUUGGUGUCAGUAGAUUGGUUUUGCUGCAUUUGGGCGACUGGACCUUGUUGGGUUACAGAGAGAGGGCACCUGACAGGCUGCAACAGAGGUGGUGCCGGGCUCAUCCGUGUGACCCCACAAAGUAGGUAUGUGUACCCCUAUUUCCCAGGUAAGGAAACUGAGUCUCAGGCCCACAGCCUGGACAAAAACCCAGCUCUGCCCCAAAUCACCUCACUGCAUCACCAGAUUCUGAAGCCAGAAAGAGAUAAUUGGGGAAUGAACAUAUGAAUAUUCUUUUUUUCUUUCUUUUUUCUACAUGCCAUCUUGCUGACAGAUCUGCAGUCUCUCCACACUGACUUUCUGAAAAAGGAGAUGCCAUUUCUCACCACAUACUGCAGCCCCAGAGAACACUUUGAGAAAAAUGUCCUGAAGUGCUGCAUUCGUCUACCGAGCCAGAGCCUCUCUGAGCCUGCGGAGUUAAGGACUCCACAUAGGUGUCCAGGGACCUGGUUGCUCUGACUGGAACAUGAGCUGUGUGGUCUUGCAGGGCCAGGCUCAGGGUGGACGCUGCGCACUCCCGCUCUUACGAGGCUCCCAUGUGCUUGAACUAUUGCAGUUCCAAGAGUCUGUCAUAAGUUUUCUUAUUCUAAUAACAAUAAACUAUAGAGUCACAAAGAAUAUACACAGUGAAGAGUUCCUGUCAUGACUCAGUGGUUAACGAACUGCACUAAUAUCCAUGAGGACGCAGAUUCGAUCCCUGG